ACAAGGAUCAGGGACUCUCAAUUGUGUAACAUCCCACAGAGCAGAAACUGCAACCCUACUGGGCAUAAAGGUUAACAAUUCUUUGGGACAAACUGUCACUAAUCUCCUGAGAUCCUAGGGAAAGAAGCAGAGAUAAAGUCCAGUGAAGGACAGAUUACCUGGAAUGCUAAGGCUGUAAAUCCAGCCCAGGCUUCCACCUUCUCCUUCCUGCAAAAUCUUGUGCAAGGAGGAAGACCUGCAUGGGGGUUGCCAAGUUGGAAUACAACAUAGCCUUUGAUGUGGACUCAGUGGAUGUUCAAAGACUUGCCAC